CCUGGUAGUCCACGCCCUAAACGAUGUCAACUGGUUGUUGGGUCUUAACUGACUCAGUAACGAAGCUAACGCGUGAAGUUGACCGCCUGGGGAGUACGGCCGCAAGGUUGAAACUCGAAGGAAUUGACGGGGACCCGCACAAGCGGUGGAUGAUGUGGUUUAAUUCGAUGCAACGCGAAAAACCUUACCCACCUUUGACAUGGCAGGAACUUACCAGAGAUGGUUUGGUGCUCGAAAGAGAACCUGCACACAGGUGCUGCAUGGCUGUCGUCAGCUCGUGUCGUGAGAUGUUGGGUUAAGUCCCGCAACGAGCGCAACCCUUGCCAUUAGUUGCUACAUUCAGUUGAGCACUCUAAUGGGACUGCCGGUGACAAACCGGAGGAAGGUGGGGAUGACGUCAAGUCCUCAUGGCCCUUAUAGGUGGGGCUACACACGUCAUACAAUGGCUGGUACAAAGGGUUGCCAACCCGCGAGGGGGAGCUAAUCCCAUAAAGCCAGUCGUAGUCCGGAUCGCAGUCUGCAACUCGACUGCGUGAAGUCGGAAUCGCUAGUAAUCGUGGAUCAGAAUGUCACGGUGAAUACGUUCCCGGGUCUUGUACACACCGCCCGUCACACCAUGGGAGCGGGUCUCGCCAGAAGUAGGUAGCCUAACCGCAAGGAGGGCGCUUACCACGGCGGGGUUCGUGACUGGGGUGAAGUC
rnacentral:rRNA from 1 species